UCCUUAUAAUCAAACUUUUAUAUAUCUAUAUAAAGAUGUUUGGAUGUUAAAUUGAGAAGAGCAGUAUUAUUGUUAUAAUACUACUUUCUUAAAAACCAGAAAUACUUUGUUUUGGUUUUAUUCCCAACUCAUUUUAUAUUUAAUAACACAAAUGCAGUGAGGAUUUAGUACAGAACGAUAAAAAUAUU
rnacentral:misc_RNA from 1 species